UACGGAGGGGGCUAGCGUUGUUCGGAAUUACUGGGCGUAAAGCGCACGUAGGCGGCUUUGUAAGUUAGAGGUGAAAGCCCGGGGCUCAACUCCGGAAUUGCCUUUAAAACUGCAUCGCUAGAGUUGUGGAGAGGUAAGUGGAAUUCCGAGUGUAGAGGUGAAAUUCGUAGAUAUUCGGAAGAACACCAAGUGGCGGAAGGCGACUUACUGGACACAUACUGACGCUGAGGUGCGAAAGCGUGGGUAGCAAACAGG
rnacentral:rRNA from 1 species